rnacentral:rRNA from 1 species
GCUUAACGCGAAGAACCUUACCAAGGCUUAAAUGGGAAACGACGGAUCUGGAAACAGGUCUUCCUUCGGGCGUUUUUCAAGGUGCUGCAUGGUUGUCGCCAGCUCGUGCCGUGAGGUGUCAGGUUAAGUCCUAUAACGAGCGCAACCCCUGUUGUUAGUUGCCAGCGAGUCAAGUCGGGAACUCUAGCAAGACUGCCGGUGCAAACCGUGAGGAAGGUGGGGAUGACGUCAAAUCAUCACGGCCCUUACGCCUUGGGCUACACACGUGCUACAAUGGACGGUACAGAGAGCAGCCAGUGGGUGACCACGAGCGAAUCUACAAAACCGUUCUCAGUUCGGAUCGGAGUCUGCGACUCGACUCCAUGAAGCUGGAAUCGCUAGUAAUCGGAUAUCAGCCAUGAUCUGGUGAAUACGUUCCCGGGUCUUGUACACACCG